rnacentral:rRNA from 1 species
AUGGCUCAGGACGAACGCUGGCGGCGUGCCUAAUACAUGCAAGUCGAACGGCUUUUCUAUGGAAGCUUGCUUCCACUGAGAAGAUAGUGGCGAACGGGUGAGUAACACGUGGGUAACCUGCCCAUAAGAGGGGGGAUAACAUCCGGAAACGGGUGCUAAUACCGCAUAGUUUUCUUGGUCGCAUGAUCGGGAAAGGAAAGACGGCCUUUGUGCUGUCGCUUAUGGAUGGACCCGCGGCGUAUUAGUUAGUUGGUGAGGUAACGGCUCACCAAGACGAUGAUACGUAGCCGACCUGAGAGGGUGAUCGGCCACAUUGGGACUGAGACACGGCCCAAACUCCUACGGGAGGCAGCAGUAGGGAAUCUUCCGCAAUGGACGAAAGUCUGACGGAGCAACGCCGCGUGAGUGAAGAAAAGGUUUUCGGAUCGUAAAACUCUGUUGUCAGAGAAGAACAAGUUGGAGAGUAACUGCUCCAGCCUUGACGGUAUCUGACCAGAAAGCCACGGCUAACUACGUGCCAGCAGCCGC